UUGUGGAUAGAAAAUGGCAUUCUCCUGUGGUUCUCCCGCUUAACCGCUCCUCGAUGAGCCGAUGAUGCCUACACACAC
rnacentral:ncRNA from 2 species